CUAGUCGAAAGACCAUCAGAUAAACAAUUAGCUUCGUUAGUUUCAAUUUAUUUGAUAAAUUUACUUUAUUAUCUUUGUGUUUUUUUAACAAAACUUUGAUAACUUAAUUGAUUCACAGCGCCAUUGUGCGGGAUUUUUAGUAAUAUUGUGUGUGACGCAAUUGGAAUUCGUCCUUUCCGUCGCGCUACUGUGAGUAGAACAUGUCGUAUACAUCUGAACGAAGAAACGAGGAUCAAUGGUCUGGCGACUCUAAAAAUGGUCCAAGUGAAAGUGAAUCAUCUAACUAUGGAGGGCCUCCCGGAAUGGACCCGGAUGGUGUUAUUGACAGCAACUGGGAUCAGGUGGUCGAAAGUUUUGAUGACAUGAACCUAAAGGAAGAACUUCUUCGGGGUAUCUAUGCUUAUGGUUUCGAAAAACCAUCUGCUAUUCAACAACGGGCAAUUGUACCAUGUGUAAAAGGUUUUGAUGUUAUCGCUCAAGCCCAGUCAGGUACUGGAAAAACAGCAACAUUCUCUAUUUCUAUACUGCAGCAAAUUGAUACAAAUCUGAGUGAAUGCCAAGCAUUGAUUCUCGCUCCAACUCGUGAGUUGGCUCAGCAGAUCCAAAAAGUGGUAAUUGCUCUUGGAGAUUUUAUGCAUGCUCAAUGCCAUGCAUGUAUUGGAGGAACAAAUGUUCGUGAAGAUAUCCGGAAACUUGAGCAAGGAGCUCAUGUGGUAGUCGGAACACCAGGAAGAGUUUAUGACAUGAUAAGUCGACGUGCACUUCGUACAAAUAACAUAAAACUAUUUGUACUCGAUGAAGCUGAUGAGAUGUUAUCCCGUGGUUUCAAGGAUCAAAUUCACGAUGUUUUCAGGCUACUUCCCCAUGAAGUACAGGUUAUUCUAUUAUCUGCAACAAUGCCCACUGACGUAUUAGAAGUUUCUAAAUGCUUUAUGCGUCAACCAAUUAGAAUUUUGGUGAAAAAAGAAGAAUUAACGUUGGAAGGUAUCAAACAAUUUUAUGUCUUCGUUGAACGUGAAGAUUGGAAAUUCGACACUCUGUGUGAUUUGUAUGAUACUUUGAGUAUUACUCAGGCUGUAAUUUUCUGUAAUACACGUCGCAAGGUUGAUUGGUUGACAGAAAAUAUGCAACGCCGUGAUUUUACCGUUUCGGCAAUGCAUGGAGAUAUGGAUCAAAAAGAACGUGAUCUAAUUAUGAGACAAUUUCGCACAGGGUCUUCUCGUGUCCUUAUUACGACUGACCUUUUAGCACGUGGUAUUGAUGUACAACAAGUAUCACUUGUUAUUAAUUAUGAUCUUCCUUCCAACCGAGAAAAUUAUAUCCAUAGAAUUGGUCGUGGAGGUCGGUUUGGACGUAAAGGAGUAGCCAUCAACUUUAUUACCACGGAUGACAAACGAAUCAUGAGUGAUAUAGAAGCGUAUUACCACACUCAUAUUGAUGAGAUGCCAUUAAAUGUUGCUGAUUUGAUCUAAAUCUGGCUGUUGGCUGUAUUUCAUUAUAAUAAAAGCAAAAAAAUAAUAAAACGAAUUUUUCGGCAGUUCACACUAAUUGUGAGAGGGAAGACAUUUUGUUGGAAGUAGAGACAAAGUUUCCUCUAAAAUAUCAAAGUAUUUUCGUAUUAAUCGAUUGUUAAUUAUUGUUUCACAUGAUUGCUAGAAAAUUCAUUUUAUCAGUUCACA
rnacentral:misc_RNA from 1 species